GGGUUUGAUUCCUGGCUCAGAUUGAACGCUGGCGGGAUGCUUUACACAUGCAAGUCGAACGGCACGGACUUCAGUCUGGUGGCGAGUGGCGAACGGUGAGUAAUGACGGAACGUGCCUAGUAGCGGGAUAACUACGCUGAAACAGGUGCUAAUAUCGCAACAUACUCUUCGGGGAAAGCGGGGACCUCGGGCUCUCGCACUAUUAGAGCGGCCGAUAUCGGAUUAGCUAGCUGGUGGGUAACGGCUCACCAAGGCGACGAUCCAGAGUUGUUUGAGAGGUACACCAGCCACACUGGACUGGAGACACGGCCCAGACUCCUACGGGAGGCAGCAGUGGGGAAUUUUGGACAAUGGGGGAAACCCCGAUCCAGCCAUCUCGGCGUGUGCGAUGAAGGCUCUCAAGCAAAAGCACUUUUGGCAGGAAAGAAACGGCACGUGAUAAUACCCCGUGCAACUGACGGUACUCUGCAGAAUAAGCACUGGCUAACUACGUACUACAGCCGCGGUAAUACGUAGGGUGCAAGCGUUAAUCGGAAUUACUGGGCGUGAGCGUGCGCAUGCGGUUCGGAAAGAAAGAUGUGAAAUCCCAGAGCUUAAUCUGGAACUGCAUUUUUAACUACCGAGCUAGAGUGUGUCAGAGGGAGGUGGAAUUCCCGCGUGUAGCAGUGAAAUGCGUAGAUAUGCGGAGGAACACCGAUGGCGAAGGCAGCCUCCUGGGAUAACACUGACGUCAUAACGGAAAGCGUGGGGAGCAAACAGGAUUAGAUACCCUGGUAGUCCACGCCCUAAACGAUGUCAACUAGCUGUUGGGGCCUUCGGGCCUUGCAGCGCAGCUAAUCGCGGUUGACCGCCUGGGAGUACGGUCGCAAGAUUAAAAACUCAAAGGAAUUGACGGGGACCCGCACAAGCGGUGGAUGAUGUGGAUUAAUUCGAUGCAACGCGAAAAACCUUACCUUACCCUUGACAUGUCUGGAAUCCUGAAGAGAUUUGGGAGUGCUCGCAAGAGAACCGGAACACAGUGCCGUAUGGCUGUCGUCAGCUCGUGUCGUGAGAUGUUGGGUUAAGUCCCGCAUUCAGAGCGCAACCCUUGUCAUUAGUUGCUACGAAAGGGCACUCUUAACACGACUGCCGGUGACAAACCGGAGGAAGGUGGGGACAUUUGGUCCUCAUGGCCUUUAUGGGUAGGGCUUCACACGUCAUACAAUGGUCGGGACAGAGGGUCGCCAACCCGCGAGGGGGAGCCAAUCCCAGAAACCCGAUCGUAGUCCGGAUCGCAGUCUGCAACUCUCGACUGCGUGAAGUCGGAAUCGCUAGUAAUCGCGGAUCAGCAUGUCGCGGAAUACGUUCCCGGGUCUUGUACACACCGCCCGUCACACCAUGGGAGUGGGUUUUACCAGAAGUAGUUAACCUAACCGUAAGGAGGCGAUUACCACGGUAGGAUUCAUGAUCGGGGUGAAGUCGUAACAAGGUAA
rnacentral:rRNA from 1 species